AUACGAGAGAAGCAGUAGUGCCCAAUAAAAGUGCGCAGAGUGUCCCCCCUCCCACUUUUUUUGGGGGGCUGGGGGUUGGUACAGAAGAUGCGUCAACCUCCAGGGGUCGUAGUUAUGAAUCAAGAGUAAGUUGUUGCCCUGUGGAGCAGCACGGGACCUCGGGGAGAAGUCUCUUGUUUCUCCAGUCAUUAAAAGGUGCAUCUGUGAUGUCCUGUUGUCGUCAGAGAGAUUAUGUUGCUGUCAACGUGGAGAGAGAUGUUGGUGUCGAUAAGCCAACACGCACCUGUCAAAGAUACAGAUGAAGAGAAAGAAAUGUUGAUGUCAACAAAUCUUAACGGAACAUGUGAAAGACGAGGGAGACAGCUACUUUUCAGGAGUUGCACAUUUAUUUGAACUGCGAAUUGUAAACCAUUGACUGUAGACAGGCAACACGGGGGACCGCAGACUCUUUUAUUAUUAUUAUUAAUUAAAUAUUAAUGGCUUUAUGGUCGUUUUAUUUCACUUAAGUUGGUAUUUACAUAAAGUCUUAUGACAAAGAAUUGUAAAGUGAUGGAACUUUUGUGUAAUCCCCCUUGUCAUGUAAAUUUCAUAUAUCUGUCAAAGUUUUCUUUUUGCUUAAGUACUACUUGCUUAUUUAAGUAGUUCAUAUAUAUAUAUAACUGUUCUUAUAAAUGUAUAAUUGUUUUGAAAAAAAAGUUUCAAAGAUACUGGGUAACGGAGACUGGAUAAAAAGUUA